GGCUGGAUAAUUUAGCUGGCAAAGCAUGAGACUCUUAAUCCCAGGGUUGUGGGUUCAAGGCCCAAGUUGAGUCA